rnacentral:rRNA from 1 species
UCGGGAAUUUUGGGCAAUGGGCGCAAGCCUGACCCAGCGACGCCGCGUGAGCGAUGAAGGCCUUCGGGUCGUAAAGCUCUGUCGGGAGGGAAGAUGGGUCGGAGGGCGAAUAGUCCUUCGAUUUGACGGUACCUCCAAAGGAAGCGCCGGCUAACUCCGUGCCAGCAGCCGCGGUAAUACGGAGGGCGCAAGCGUUGUUCGGAAUCACUGGGCGUAAAGCGCGUGUAGGCGGUCGGGCAAGUCGGAUGUGAAAUCCCGGGGCUCAACCUCGGAACUGCAUUCGAAACUGCUCGGCUAGAGUCCCGGAGAGGAUGGCGGAAUUCCCGGUGUAGGGGUGAAAUCCGUAGAUAUCGGGAGGAACACCAGUGGCGAAGGCGGCCAUCUGGACGGUGACUGACGCUGAGACGCGAAAGCGUGGGGAGCAAACAGGAUUAGAUACCCCCGUAGUCC